GACGAACGCUGGCGGCGUGCUUAACACAUGCAAGUCGUACGGUAAGGCCCUUUCGGGGGUCCACGAGUGGCGAACGGGUGAGUAACACGUGAGUAACCUGCCCACAACUUUGGGAUAACGCUAGGAAACUGGUGCUAAUACUGGAUAUGUGCUCCUGCUGCAUGGUGGGGGUUGGAAAGCUCCGGCGGCUGUGGAUGGACUCGCGGCCUAUCAGCUUGUUGGUGGGGUAGUGGCCUACCAAGGCGGCGACGGGUAGCCGGCCUGAGAGGGUGACCGGCCACAGUGGGACUGAGAUACGGCCCAGACUCCUACGGGAGGCAGCAGUGGGGAAUAUUGCACAAUGGGCGCAAGCCUGAUGCAGCAACGCCGCGUGCGGGAUGACGGCCUUCGGGUUGUAAACCGCUUUCAGCAGGGACGAAGCUUUUUGUGACGGUACCUGCAGAAGAAGCACCGGCUAACUACGUG
rnacentral:rRNA from 1 species